CCCCGCGGGCCUCCCAAGGCAGCCCCGUGUUAGCCCGACCGGCUUCGAAGCCCGCGCCGGUUGCGGACCCUCCGCCGCGCCCACCUGUCAGCGCCUCCGCCGGCCGGGGCUCCCGCCGCAUGCAAGCAGCGAGGCGAGGUCGCGCUGAGGCCUGGCCAUGCCACGGACAGCCGGGCCUCACCCUGCCGCUCUCUCGCCGUCCAGAGGCCCCUGGUCCACACCUGGGUACCCUGGGUCCUGACUCAG
rnacentral:lncRNA from 1 species